rnacentral:misc_RNA from 1 species
AAGUACCAUCUUCCCAUAACACUAUCAUGGUAUAAAGGAUUUAUGCCACAAAAGUAUAGAUAAAUAGGAGUCGCCAUUCGAGUAAUAAUCGGGACAUAUUCAUUAUUUCUUCCAAGGGACAUUUGAGUGAGGAAUUAAUUUCCAAAGGGACAAUCAAAGAGACUUGAUUCAUGCACUUAAUUUUCUGAUAGGGUUGUGGAUGGCAACUUAUUUCUUGUAGAGAUUCUACAACCAUCGUCACCAUAGCUCAAUGUUUAGGUUUGAGAUAGUGGAUACAUAAACGGAUAGUGCUAGGUACCCCUUACACCUAGUUUAACCUCAUUAAUUUUAGUGUCAGUCCUCUACUAAUAUUUUUAAAAGUCUUAUUUAUU